AAAAAAAAAAAAAAAGGCCCCAGGCCUUGCGCUCCCGGCCUGCUGUAGCGGAACCCGGGGCGGGCGUUGCCUAGAAACGCAUCAUUGUCUUUGGGUUCUUAGCCUUGCGCAGGCAGCAGUUCUGGGACACUUGGCGGGGUAGUCC
rnacentral:pre_miRNA from 1 species